rnacentral:rRNA from 1 species
CAUUAGAUACCCUGGUAGUCCACGCCGUAAACGAUGAUUACUAGGUGUAGGUGGGUAUGGACCCAUCGGUGCCGCAGCCAACGCAGUAAGUAAUCCACCUGGGGAGUACGUUCGCAAGAAUGAAACUCAAAGGAAUUGACGGGGACCCGCACAAGCGGUGGAGCAUGUGGUUUAAUCCGAAGCAACGCGAAGAACCUUACCAAGUCUUGACAUCUGGAUGACGAAUCCGUAACGGGAUUUUCUCUUCGGAGCAUCCAAGACAGGUGGUGCAUGGUUGUCGUCAGCUCGUGUCAUGAGAUGUUGGGUUAAGUCCCGCAACGAGCGCAACCCUUAUCUUUAGUAGCCAGCAAGUAAAGUUGGGCACUCUAGAGAGACUGCCGGGGAUAACCCGGAGGAAGGUGGGGAUGACGUCAAAUCAUCAUGCCCCUUAUGAUUUGGGCUACACACGUGCUACAAUGGCGUAAACAGAGGGAAGCGAGCCUGCGAGGGGGAGCGAAUCCCAAAAAUAACGUCCCAGUUCGGAUUGUAGUCUGCAACCCGACUACAUGAAGCUGGAGUCGCUAGUAAUCGCGGAUCAGAAUGCCGCGGUGAAUACGUUCCCGGGUCUUGUACACACCGCCCGUCACACCAUGGGAGUCGGAAAUGCCCGAAGUCUGUGACCCAACCUUAGGGAGGGAGCAGCCGAAGGCAGGUCGGAUGACUGGGGUGAAGUCGUAACAAGGUAAC